UGAGCUUGAUCCUGGCUCAGGAUGAACGCUAGCGGCAGGCUUAACACAUGCAAGUCGAGGGGUAUAGUUCUUCGGAACUAGAGACCGGCGCACGGGUGCGUAACGCGUAUGCAAUCUACCUUUUACAGAGGGAUAGCCCAGAGAAAUUUGGAUUAAUACCUCAUAGUAUAGCAGCAUGGCAUCAUUCCGCUAUUAAAGUCACAACGGUAAAAGAUGAGCAUGCGUCCCAUUAGCUAGUUGGUAAGGUAACGGCUUACCAAGGCUACGAUGGGUAGGGGUCCUGAGAGGGAGAUCCCCCACACUGGUACUGAGACACGGACCAGACUCCUACGGGAGGCAGCAGUGAGGAAUAUUGGACAAUGGGCGCAAGCCUGAUCCAGCCAUGCCGCGUGCAGGAUGACGGUCCUAUGGAUUGUAAACUGCUUUUAUACGAGAAGAAACACUCCGACGUGUCGGAGCUGACGG
rnacentral:rRNA from 1 species